UGCCUCAGUAACGGCGAGUGAAGCGGCAACAGCUCAAAUUUGAAAUCUGGCCCCAGGCCCGAGUUGUAAUUUGCAGAGGAUGCUUUUGGUGCGGUGCCUUCCAAGUUCCCUAGAACGGGACGCCAGAGAGGGUGAGAGCCCCGUACAGUUGGACACCAAGCCUUUGUAAAGCUCCUUCGACGAGUCGAGUAGUUUGGGAAUGCUGCUCAAAAUGGGAGGUAUAUUUCUUCUAAAGCUAAAUACCGGCCAGAGACCGAUAGCGCACAAGUAGAGUGAUCGAAAGAUGAAAAGCACUUUGAAAAGAGGGUUAAACAGCACGUGAAAUUGUUAAAAGGGAAGCGCUUGUGACCAGACUUGCGUCCGGUGAAUCACCCAGCUCUCGCGGCUGGGGCACUUCGCCGGCUCAGGCCAGCAUCAGCUCGCUGUCGGGGACAAAAGCUUCAGGAACGUAGCUCUCUUCGGGGAGUGUUAUAGCCUGUUGCACAAUACCCUUCGGCGGGCUGAGGUACGCGCUCCGCAAGGAUGCUGGCAUAAUGGUCAUCAGCGACCCGUCUUGAAACACGGACCAAGGAGUCAACCUUAUGUGCGAGUGUUCGGGUGUCAAACCCCUACGCGUAAUGAAAGUGAACGCAGGUGAGAGCUUCGGCGCAUCAUCGACCGAUCCUGAUGUUCUCGGAUGGAUUUGAGUAAGAGCAUAUAGGGUUGGACCCGAAAGAAGGUGAACUAUGCGUGUAUAGGGUGAAGCCAGAGGAAACUCUGGUGGAGGCUCGCAGCGGUUCUGACGUGCAAAUCGAUCGUCAAAUAUGCGCAUGGGGGCGAAAGACUAAUC
rnacentral:rRNA from 1 species